rnacentral:lncRNA from 1 species
GGAAGACAAAAAUUGACAUCGGUGUUGAGGGGAAGCGACGUCUAUGUGCUUGUAAUUAAUUAUUUUCACCAAACUCGAGGGCCCUGGACGUCGACUAGAGGGGCACCAACGUCUACGUUAUUAUAGACGUCGGUGCCCCAUCACAACUGUCGUGAACAUCCCUGACAGAAAAUGAAACGUCAAUCGGUUCAGCUUCCUUGAUGUCGGCUCCCCUCGAAACCGACGUCUACUGGGUAUUCGAAAAGUCAGUUGUAAUAUUAUUUGAAAGUCAGUUUCUGAUAUCAUCUUCCUCUUCCUCUUCUCCUUUUUCUCUCACGGCCCUCUUCUUUUUCUCGCUUGCGGCACCUCUUCUGAUAUCUUUAUCGUCUUCCUCCUCUCCUUUUUCUCUCUUGCGACAUUGCAUCCCAGGUGCAUGGUUUUUUUUAUGCUUACCGUUUG